AAAAAUAUUAUUACCACAGAAUAAAACAAUUAAAAUUAUUACGUUAUUAUAAUAAUAAUAUAAUAAUUUACAUGUGAUAUUUUACACAUCCCUAGGCAAAACUGCAAAAGAAGAAAUAACAAGACUAAUAAGAAUAAUCCAAGUGUAGCAUCGAAAAUGUGACAACAAGGUAAUGUCAUGGCUACAUAGAAUUUACACUGACACCCAUUAAUAGUUGUGAAAGAUAGCGUUUUUGACUUGGCUUCAAAUUGCUUUUCGACAAGCAUAAAAGAGUAAGGUCAUUUCUAUCACGUUCUAACCUCAAGCACUUCAGUAAAAUAAACAAUUUAUCCACGAAGUCAUCAAUAUUUGUAAAAACAGGUAUCACGCUCUUUAAUUUUCCAUUAAAGGACUCUAAUCGGUUGUUAGUAUUGUUUAGCAUA